CUCAGCGACGGACCGGGCCUA
rnacentral:siRNA from 1 species